GACGAACGCUGGCGGCGUGGAUUAGGCAUGCAAGUCGAACGGUAUCAUCCUUUCGGGGAUGAGAGAGUGGCGAACGGGUGAGUAACACGUAGGUUAUCUACCCUCAAGACGGGGACAACCCAGGGAAACUUGGGCUAAUACCGGAUGUGAGCAACUUUUAGUUGUUUGAAAGGUGGCGUAAGCUGUCGCUUGGGGAUGAGCCUGCGUCCUAUUAGUUAGUUGGUGAGGUAACGGCUCACCUAGGCAAUGAUAGGUAGGCGGCCUUAACGGGUGGUCGCCCACACUGGGAUUGAGAUACGGCCCAGACUCCUACGGGAGGCAGCAGUCGAGAAUAGUCUACAAUGGUCGGAAGACUGAUAGUGCGACGCCGCGUGAACGAUGAAUCCCUUCGGGGUGUAAAGUUCUUUUAUAUGUGAGCAGUGCUUCUUAUAUUAACAGUAUGGGGAGAGAGAUAUUAGCAUAUGAAUAAGCAACGGCUAACUCCGUGCCAGCAGCCGCGGUAAA
rnacentral:rRNA from 1 species